rnacentral:rRNA from 1 species
UUAAGUUAAUAAGGGCGCACGGUGGAUGCCUUGGCACUAGGAGCCGACGAAGGACGUGACAAACGACGAUAUGCCUUGGGUAGCUGUAAGUAAGCGAUGAUCCAGGGAUUUCCGAAUGGGGGAACCCAACAGGUAAUACCUGUUACCUACAUCUGUUAAGGAUGUGAGGAGGAAGACGCAGUGAACUGAAACAUCUAAGUAGCUGCAGGAAGAGAAAGCAAAAGCGAUUGCCUUAGUAGCGGCGAGCGAAACGGCAGAAGGGCAAACCGAAGAGUUUACUCUUCGGGGUUGUAGGACUGCAAUGUGGACUCAAAGAUUAUAGAAGAAUGAUUUGGGAAGAUCAGCCAAAGAGAGUAAUAGCCUCGUAUUUAAAAUAGUCUUUGUACUUAGCAGUAUCCUGAGUACGGCGGGACACGUGAAAUCCCGUCGGAAUCUGGGAGGACCAUCUCCCAACCCUAAAUACUCCCUAGUGACCGAUAGUGAACCAGUACCGUGAGGGAAAGGUGAAAAGCACCCCGGGAGGGGAGUGAAAUAGAACCUGAAACCGUGUGCCUACAACAAGUUCGAGCCCGUUAAUGGGUGAGAGCGUGCCUUUUGUAGAAUGAACCGGCGAGUUACGUUAUGAUGCGAGGUUAAGUUGAAGAGACGGAGCCGUAGGGAAACCGAGUCUGAAUAGGGCGCCUUAGUAUCAUGACGUAGACCCGAAACCAUGUGACCUACCCAUGAGCAGGUUGAAGGUGCGGUAAGACGCACUGGAGGACCGAACCAGGGCACGUUGAAAAGUGCUUGGAUGACUUGUGGGUAGCGGAGAAAUUCCAAACGAACUUGGAGAUAGCUGGUUCUCUCCGAAAUAGCUUUAGGGCUAGCGUCGACAUUAGAGAUUCUUGGAGGUAGAGCACUGUUUGGGUGAGGGGUCCAUCCCGGAUUACCAAUCUCAGAUAAACUCCGAAUGCCAAUGAAUUAUGGUCGGCAGUCAGACUGCGAGUGCUAAGAUCCGUAGUCGAAAGGGAAACAGCCCAGACCACCAGCUAAGGUCCCAAAAUAAUUGUUAAGUGGAAAAGGAUGUGGGGUUGCACAGACAACUAGGAUGUUAGCUUAGAAGCAGCUAUUCAUUCAAAGAGUGCGUAAUAGCUCACUAGUCGAGUGACCCUGCGCCGAAAAUGUACCGGGGCUAAAACAAUUUACCGAAGCUGUGGAUACCUUUAUAGGUAUGGUAGGAGAGCGUUCUAUGUGUGAUGAAGGUAUACCGUGAGGAGUGCUGGAACGCAUAGAAGUGAGAAUGCCGGUAUGAGUAGCGAAAGACAGGUGAGAAUCCUGUCCACCGUAAGACUAAGGUUUCCAGGGGAAGGCUCGUCCGCCCUGGGUUAGUCGGGACCUAAGGAGAGACCGAAAGGUGUAUCCGAUGGACAACAGGUUGAUAUUCCUGUACUAGAGUAUGUAGUGAUGGAGGGACGCAGUAGGCUAACUAAAGCAGACGAUUGGAAGAGUCUGUCUAAGCAGUGAGGUGUGAAUUGAGUCAAAUGCUUAAUUCUAUAACAUUGAGCUGUGAUGGGGAGCGAAGUUUAGUAGCGAAGUUAGUGACGUCACACUGCCAAGAAAAGCUUCUAGCGUUUAAACAUACUCUACCCGUACCGCAAACCGACACAGGUAGUCGAGGCGAGUAGCCUCAGGUGAGCGAGAGAACUCUCGUUAAGGAACUCGGCAAAAUGACCCCGUAACUUCGGGAGAAGGGGUGCUGACUUUAAGUCAGCCGCAGUGAAUAGGCCCAAGCAACUGUUUAUCAAAAACACAGCUCUCUGCUAAAUCGUAAGAUGAUGUAUAGGGGGUGACGCCUGCCCGGUGCUGGAAGGUUAAGAGGAGUGCUUAGCGUAAGCGAAGGUAUGAAUUGAAGCCCCAGUAAACGGCGGCCGUAACUAUAACGGUCCUAAGGUAGCGAAAUUCCUUGUCGGGUAAGUUCCGACCCGCACGAAAGGCGUAAUGAUUUGGGCACUGUCUCAACGAGAGACUCGGUGAAAUUUUAGUACCUGUGAAGAUGCAGGUUACCCGCGACAGGACGGAAAGACCCCAUGGAGCUUUACUGCAGUUUGAUAUUGAGUGUCUGUACCACAUGUACAGGAUAGGUAGGAGUCUAAGAGAUCGGGACGCCAGUUUCGAAGGAGACGCUGUUGGGAUACUACCCUUGUGUUAUGGCCACUCUAACCCAGAUAGGUGAUCCCUAUCGGAGACAGUGUCUGACGGGCAGUUUGACUGGGGCGGUCGCCUCCUAAAAGGUAACGGAGGCGCCCAAAGGUUCCCUCAGAAUGGUUGGAAAUCAUUCGCAGAGUGUAAAGGUAUAAGGGAGCUUGACUGCGAGAGCUACAACUCGAGCAGGGACGAAAGUCGGGCUUAGUGAUCCGGUGGUUCCGUAUGGAAGGGCCAUCGCUCAACGGAUAAAAGCUACCCUGGGGAUAACAGGCUUAUCUCCCCCAAGAGUUCACAUCGACGGGGAGGUUUGGCACCUCGAUGUCGGCUCGUCGCAUCCUGGGGCUGUAGUCGGUCCCAAGGGUUGGGCUGUUCGCCCAUUAAAGCGGCACGCGAGCUGGGUUCAGAACGUCGUGAGACAGUUCGGUCCCUAUCCGUCGCGGGCGUAGGAAAUUUGAGAGGAUCUGCUCCUAGUACGAGAGGACCAGAGUGGACUUACCGCUGGUGUACCAGUUGUCUUGCCAAAGGCAUCGCUGGGUAGCUAUGUAGGGAAGGGAUAAACGCUGAAAGCAUCUAAGUGUGAAACCCACCUCAAGAUGAGAUUUCCCAUGAUUAUAUAUCAGUAAGAGCCCUGAGAGAUGAUCAGGUAGAUAGGUUAGAAGUGGAAGUG